rnacentral:rRNA from 2 species
AAGGUUAAACGGCCGCGGUAUUCUGACCGUGCAAAGGUAGCAUAAUCACUUGUUCCUUAAUUAGGGACUAGAAUGAACGGCAAAACGAGGGUUUAACUGUCUCUUAUUUCUUAUCAGUGAAAUUGACCUCCCCGUGAAGAGGCGGGGAUAUCAAAAUAAGACGAGAAGACCCUAUGGAGCUUUAAUUUAUUAAUUUAUUUCUUCAUAAUAAUAAUCUAAUGAAAUAACAUCUGAAACCUAAAUUAAUAAUUUCGGUUGGGGUGACCUCGGAGAAUAAAACAACCUCCGAAAGAUUAUAAUUCAGACUAACAAGUCAAGAUGUAAAUAUUAAUCAAAAUUGACCCAAUCACUUGACCAACGAACCAAGUUACCCUAGGGAUAACAGCGCUAUCUUAUUUGAGAGUUCAUAUCGAAAAUAGGGUUUACGACCUCGAUGUUGGAUCAGGAUAUCCCAA